ACCAAUACAAAGCCAUUUGAGAGUUCUUUAUUCCAUUUGAGAGUUUAUUUUGUGAGAGAAAAUAUUGAGUGAAAAAUAUUGUUCUUUCUUUGUCCUCAUCAUUAUAAGAGGAUAUCUUGUACUCUCUUUUACAUAGUGGAACUUCGCUCUUGAGCGCCUGUGUUUUUUUUACCUCUUACACUAAGGGGGUUCAUCUCUUGUUAUUAUUUUACUUCUCUUUAUUUUCAAUUGAUUAGAUCUUGUGCUUCCGCAUACCGCUGAUACCCUAACAAUUUUUAAUACGGGGUUUUAAUAAUCGGUUAUGGAGAACGAAUGGUGAAAAAAUAAUGUACUAAAUUUUGAAUUAUUAAAAAUUCACACGGAUGGAGCAACAUUCGUUGUGGAAAGAUAAAUCAUAUGAAUAAUAAAUUUACUACUUGUAUGACAUUUGACAUUAAUGGUAAGUACAUGGUAAUUAGUUUGUAGUGAAUGAUAUACAACAAAAUUCAACAAUGAUAUAAUGAUGACCUCUAAAAACGUAUUUAGAUGGAAUUUGUCGCUACCCAGUUGUUUAUAAUGAUUGUUCCCUUUGAUCUAUUGAAUUUUAUAGGAUGGUAAUUUCCGUAGCCAUCAAAAAAUGUCAAAAUUGCUUGAAAUUGAUUGAAAUAAGUGUUAAUCGAAAUUAUUUUAUGUAGGAAAUCAAACUCGUAGUUAAGCUUCAAAUAACAUUUUCAAAUCUCAAACUUCAUGACUUGUAACGAGAAUUCUUACAUAUGAUUCCAGUCAACAAUCAGGGCAACUGAUGCCACAGAAUCUCAUUGAUUAAACUUUAAUGAAAAG
rnacentral:lncRNA from 1 species